UACGUAGGGUGCAAGCGUUCAUCGGAAUUACUGGGCGUAAAGCGUGCGCAGGCGGCCAUGCAAGACAGCUGUGAAAUCCCCGGGCUCAACCUGGGAACUGCAUUUGUGACUGCAUGGCUAGAGUACGGCAGAGGGGGAUGGAAUUCCGCGUGUAGCAGUGAAAUGCGUAGAGAUGCGGAGGAACACCGAUGGCGAAGGCAGCCCCCUGGGCUAACACUGACGCUCAGGCACGAAAGCGUGGGGAGCAAACAGG
rnacentral:rRNA from 1 species